rnacentral:rRNA from 1 species
AUGGACGGAUUCCUCCCAGGUCUGCGGAAGGCUCGGGUUGUUCCAGCCGGCUGGCGGUGGAAGAUGCCGGGAUGGAGUUCCUGCUUGAUGCCAUCGACCAGUUCCCGCUCUCGGUACGAGUUCGCGGACAGCUUGGAACAUCCAGAUCCGGUUCCUCUGGCGGUGCUGCCGCGGCGUGAUGCCUCCCCUGUUACCCCGGCGGAUUCAAUGCUGGCUCCGGGCUUACCAUCUAUGGUUCUUUACUGUAAAUUCAGAUUACGCGUCGGGAGUGCACCACAAGACAGAACGCCAGGUCCAUCCAAGAUGAGUGCGUUGGAGCAGUCAAUUCACAAGUACGCAGAGGAACCAAUGGAAAGUGUGCUGGAAAUUGGUUUCGGGAUAAGAAUGAAGUGGGCAAAACCAGACUUGAAAGGUGUUCUCUGCGCCAAGAUGACAAACACACAAUGCAGCGAGAGCGCGGAUCGCAUGUUGAAGACAUCUCCUGCUAGCCCGAUGCACAUUUUCGUUAGGCAGUACAUGAGGUUGCAGAUUGACUAUGAGCGUGAGGAAAGCUAUAAGGAGAAGAGGACCAUGAUUGUAAAUUCCCAAUUCUUCGUCAUAUGGUGUCCAAAGCUGAAUUUGUUGUUAAGAGAUUUAGCUGUUAGUUUGAAAUUGAGGUCGGAGAAGACACAGUUUGAACACCUUGUUCUCCUGGCAUGGAUCGUGGAUCCUUUUUUAGUGAGUAGCGCACCAUUAGCAGAGAAGAGGAAUGGUUUGGGUUUCGAGGACCGCUUGGCAAACUUGCCUGCUGGGAGAUUGCCUGGAAAUGGAGAGGUUGCCUUUGUUGGUGGCAACGAUGUUGACCAUAGGGACUAG